UGUCACAACUGGCUUCGUUCAGUUACGAUGGGUUAUUGCAAAAGGACUUAGCGAGGGGGAGGAGGAGGCUCACCUUUUAAUUGCCAUGGAACAGGGAGAUUUACUGCAACUGUAAAAGCUGGAUUUAAUUCACCGGUGACCGGUUCGGCUGGUUUGCAUAUGCUUUGACCUUUUUAGCUGCUGCUGCAACUACUCUGCUUUUUUCAACCCCAGUUUUGUUACCUUAAAAUUUUAGGAUAACCAUUUAUGUAGUUUUGUCGUUAAAUCAUUUGGAAUGGUUUCAAACGCAAAUUUCAAAACUCAACGUGUAACAACAAAAAAAACAUACAUGCACACACCACACGUCAAUUAGAUUCGUAUUAUUAUAUUGGUGUGUAUUUGAGGUUAAUGAAAAGAAGACAGUUUAUGUCACACUCAAUGAGAUAAGCAUCUAUAUAGAAAAAAAUCAUAAUGAUGAGUUAAUUUAUGAGUAAAAAUCUGCUAAAACGAAUUGGAUAUAGAAUGCAAUUUAUUAUUUUAACUUAAGAAGUAUGACCCAAGGAGGCCCGAUAAAUUAUAACUUAUGACACAAACUUUAUCGGAUACCUAGCUGAGUCUACGUCAGGGCUGUUAAACAGUCUCGCUUCCGCUUCCGCUUCCCAUUCCUUCUCGCCGACGACGUAACGAGCUUAGAGUAAUGAUAUUCAAUCAACUUAUCCCACUAAUUCCACUAUGUCGCCUUCAACGCAUCUUACUUGAUUCAGUAUAUAUACAUGGUCUGCGAUCACUAGCCUAAUCCUUCUCAUCCUCCCAAUUUUUAAUUGUUGUUCUCUCUGGAAGGUUCUACACUCCAAGCUGUGAGAUUUCCUUAUGAACGGUGGUCGCAAAUUUGAUUCCGUAC